rnacentral:rRNA from 1 species
GGAGGGUGCGAGCGUUGUCCGGAAUCAUUGGGCGUAAAGGGCGCGUAGGUGGCCCGGUCAGUCUUUGGUGAAAGCGCGGGGCUCAACCCUGCGUCGGCCAGGGAUACUGCCGCGGCUCGAGCACUGUAGAGGCAGGCGGAAUUCCGGGUGUAGCGGUGGAAUGCGUAGAGAUCCGGAAGAACACCGGUGGCGAAGGCGGCCUGCUGGGCAGUUUAGCUGACACUGAGGCGCGACAGCGUGGGGAGCAAACAGGAUUAGAUACCCUGGUAGUCCACGCCGUAAACGAUGGGCACUAGGCGUUGGGGGAGCGACCCCCCGAGGGCCGGCGCUAACGCAUUAAGUGCCCCGCCUGGGGAGUACGGCCGCAAGGCUG